UAGUGGCGAACGGGUGAGUAACACGUGGGCAAUCUGCCCUUCACUNUGGGACAAGCCCUGGAAACGGGGUCUAAUACCGGAUAACACUCUGUCCCGCAUGGGACGGGGUUGAAAGCUCCGGCGGUGAAGGAUGAGCCCGCGGCCUAUCAGCUUGUUGGUGGGGUGAUGGCCUACCAAGGCGACGACGGGUAGCCGGCCUGAGAGGGCGACCGGCCACACUGGGACUGAGACACGGCCCAGACUCCUACGGGAGGCAGCAGUGGGGAAUAUUGCACAAUGGGCGAAAGCCUGAUGCAGCGACGCCGCGUGAGGGAUGACGGCCUUCGGGUUGUAAACCUCUUUCAGCAGGGAAGAAGCGAAAGUGACGGUACCUGCAGAAGAAGCGCCGGCUAACUACGUGCCAGCAGCCGCGGUAAUACGUAGGGCGCAAGCGUUGUCCGGAAUUAUUGGGCGUAAAGAGCUCGUAGGCGGCUUGUUGCGUCGGUUGUGAAAGCCCGGGGCUUAACCCCGGGUCUGCAGUCGAUACGGGCAGGCUAGAGUGUGGUAGGGGAGAUCGGAAUUCCU
rnacentral:rRNA from 3 species